CUGCGGAAGGAUCAUUACCGAGUGUAGGUCCUACGAGCCCAACCUCCCACCCGUGUUUACUGUACCUUGUUGCUUCGGCGGGCCCGCCAUUCGUCGGCCGCCGGGGGCUCUCAGCCCCGGGCCCGCGCCCGCCGGAGACACCACGAACUCUGUCUGAUCUAGUGAAGUCUGAGUUGAUUGUAUGCAAUCAGUUAAAACUUUCAACAAUGGAUCUCUUGGUUCCGGCAUCGAUGAAGAACGCAGCGAAAUGCGAUAACUAGUGUGAAUUGCAGAAUUCCGUGAAUCAUCGAGUCUUUGAACGCACAUUGCGCCCCCUGGUAUUCCGGGGGGCAUGCCUGUCCGAGCGUCAUUGCUGCCCUCAAGCACGGCUUGUGUGUUGGGUCGUCGUCCCCCUCUCCGGGGGGACGGGCCCCAAAGGCAGCGGCGGCACCGCGUCCGAUCCUCGAGCGUAUGGGGCUUUGUCACCCGCUCUGUAGGCCCGGCCGGCGCUUGCCGAACGCAAAUCAAUCUUUCCAGGUUGACCU
rnacentral:rRNA from 1 species